rnacentral:tRNA from 1 species
GGCUGUAGCUCAGUGGUAAACUGCUUGCCUCCCAUGUGUGAGGCACUGGGUUCAAUCCUCAGCACCA